UCAGCACUAAGCCAUUUUACCUUUAUGGUAAAUAUGGGAUGCAGUGUAUGGAACAUCAAUAAUCUAGUAUGAAAAAUUAACGAUUUAAGUCCUUCUUAAAUGAGGCCAUUUACCCAUAGAGGGUGCCAGGCCCGUAUAACGUUAAUGAUUAUUAGAAGAUGUUUCCAAAGAGUCGUGUUGCUUGAUAGUGCAGCACUAAGUGGGUGGUAAACUCCAUCUAAAACUAAAUAUAACCAUGAGACCGAUAGUAAACAAGUACCGUGAGGGAAAGUUGAAAAGAACUCUGAAUAGAGAGUUAAAUAGUACGUGAAACUGCUUAGAGGUUAAACCCGAUGAACCUGAAUAUCCAUUAUGGAAAAUUCAAUAUUAAUUGAAUGGUGUGCAAUUUUUCCAUAUAAGGACAUUGUAAUCUGUUAAUGUAAUAAUUAUUUAUCAAAAGAUUCUUUACUUAAGUUUAUUCAAAUUCAACAUAAAAUAAAUGUAUUGAAUUGGAUAAAUCAUUGACAGAUAUAAUUAUAUAGUGCGCUUAAAUUCUUUUGAAUUUGACAUUUUUGUUUGCGCAACUAUGAUUAACAAUGCGAUAGAUUCAGGAUACCUUCGGGACCCGUCUUGAAACACGGACCAAGGAGUCUAACAUAUGUGCAAGUCAUUGGGUAUUUAUAAUAAAACCCAAUGGCAUAAUUAACUUAACUUAUGGGAUUAAUUUAUAUUUAUUCAAUCCCGGGGCGUUCUAUAUAGUUAUGUAUAAUAAUAUUUAUAUUAUUUAUACCUCUAACUAGAGCGUACCUUGAGCAUAUAUGCUGUGACCCGAAAGAUGGUGAACUAUACUUGAUCAGGUUGAAGUCAGGGGAAACCCUGAUGGAAGACCGAAACAGUUCUGACGUGCAAAUCGAUUGUCAGAAUUGAGUAUAGGGGCGAAAGACUAAUCGAACCAU
rnacentral:rRNA from 1 species